CUAAGAACACCUACACUAAAGCUCCCUGUUAAUAUGGGUGGUCAACGUCAAAGCCAAAGAAUACAAGUCAAAUAGGAUCUCAAACAAUAGUCAGUCCAGCUUUUGAGAAGGUAUCAAACAGGGUUGAAGUGUCCAAACAGCUGGCCUCCAUUUAAGGAGGUUGUAGCUGCCUGCCAUCCAGGACCUCUACACCAGGCGGU